rnacentral:rRNA from 1 species
UACGUAGGGGGCUAGCGUUGUCCGGAAUCAUUGGGCGUAAAGCGCGUGUAGGCGGCCCGGUAAGUCCGCUGUGAAAGUCGGGGGCUCAACCCUCGGAUGCCGGUGGAUACUGUCGGGCUAGAGUGCGGAAGAGGCGAGUGGAAUUCCUGGUGUAGCGGUGAAAUGCGCAGAUAUCAGGAGGAACACCAAUUGCGAAGACAGCUCGCUGGGACGUUACUGACACUGAGGCGCGAAAGCGUGGGGAGCGAACAGG